AGUGGGAUAGCUGAGUCAUAUGGAGGUUCUAUUCCUAGUUUUUUGAGGAAUCUUCAUACUGCUUUCCAAAGUACUUGUACUCAUUUGCAAUCCCACCAGCAAU
rnacentral:pre_miRNA from 1 species